CGGGCUUCUUUUUAACGAGGUAAAUAUUCGGUGGGCACCGUGCAGUUGUAUGGCGCUGAAUUGCAAAUUUCAAACCGGAUUGUUUACCUUUAUGUCUUCACGAUUCAAUUAUGUCUACAUUUUUGAAAAAUAUAUAUUUCUUCACCAAGAUCUUACAGCAAGCUAGCACAGAGGAAGUAGCAACUUGGAACAAGGAUUCUUUACAAAAUGCUCUCCACUGGGCAGCUUAUUGCAAAGAGAUCUAUAAACAAGUGAUUAAAAAACCUUAUAAGGAAGUAUUCGACCAACAACUCAUAAAGCUGAAUGCAGUGCAGUCAUCCCCUUUGAUAUGUGGAGACCUUAAUCUUCAGUUUCUGGACAAAGCCACUGACAAUCUAAGACAAUUGCUGUUCUGUAAUUGUCAUCUUCCAGAGGAAUUAUUUGAGGAACUUAUUCAAAUUUCCCUGGGAGAAAAGGAAAUUAUCAUCAAGCAAUGUGCUGAGCUCAGCAGUCUCCAUGCUUCCUUGCAAAUAAUUUCCAGACUAGAAAGAGACAUUGUAAACUGCAGCUAUGACAAAUGCCGACCUAGUAAAACAGGCACACGUUUGUCAUUGGUUACUAUUGUUAAAACUGAAAUACUCUGGCAGAGACUUAUCAACCAAAUCUCUAUUAUUUCUGAUGAAGACAGGUUGGACUUGUUGGUAUUAAAAAUCAUUUCCAAUUUACCUGCUUCUAAAGAUGGUUGGGAAAUUCUUCUUUAUCUUCUAACAAAAAAAGAUGUUGACAUUAAUCCUACACUGUGGAACAUUUCCAAAGACUCAUAUUCAAAAGUGUAUCAGUUUCUUGAACAAUUUGUCCAAAACAAUAUCACGAUGUCCAAACCUCCAAGCAUAAUAUGGUCUGUAGCAGAGGAUUUAUUCUCUCAAGUGAUACUUCUCUCUUUUCCGGUGUUUUCCACCUGUUUACGCCAACUCAUUGACUGGGCAAAGCAAUUUUCACCUGUCUACCACCACCAUGACCAACGCAAUUCACUCUACACUUGGCAGCUUCAAGAAAAGGAUAGUAAUGAAAUAUCGACAUUUGCAGAUCUUUCUAAACACUUUAUGAUUCUCACGAACUGUGGAGAGCAACCCAAGAAAGCAGUACAGGCUGCAUUGGAGAGCUUACAGAACCAAACUAGCUGCAGCAUAUGGCAUGACCUUCUGACCAAAAUAUCAACAAAGGACCACAUUUAAACUUACAUGAACUAAAGUGUUGAUGUAUUUCCUUCUAACUGCACAUACAUGGAGAGGAAGGACAUUAUUUCUAAAUGGCAAUUCUAGUUUUGUGUGUAUGUAUGUAUGUAUA
rnacentral:misc_RNA from 1 species